CUUGAACGCUGGCGGCAGGCCUAAUACAUGCAAGUCGAACGAGUGGCGGACGGGUGAGUAAUGUAUGGGAAACUGCCUGAUGGAGGGGGAUAACUACUGGAAACGGUAGCUAAUACCGCAUACCAUCAGAUGUGCCCAGAUGGGAUUAGGUAGUUGGUGGGGUAACGGCUCAACAAGGCGACGAUCCCUAGCAGGGCUGAGAGGAUUACGAGCCACACUGGAACUGAGGAACGGUCCAGACUCCUACGGGGGGGAACAGUUGGGAAUAUUGCACAAUGGGCGGAAACCUGAAGCAGCCAUGCCGCGGGUAUGAAGAAGGCCUUCGGGUUGUAAAGUACUUUCAGCGGGGGGGCGUGACUCGCAGAAGAAACACCGGCUGACUCCGUGCCAGCAGGCGCGGUAAUAC
rnacentral:rRNA from 1 species